UACGUAGGGUGCAAGCGUUGUCCGGAAUUAUUGGGCGUAAAGAGCUCGUAGGCGGUUUGUCGCGUCGAAUGUGAAAACCCGGGGCUCAACCCCGGGCCUGCAUUCGAUACGGGCAGACUAGAGUUCGGUAGGGGAGUCUGGAAUUCCUGGUGUAGCGGUGAAAUGCGCAGAUAUCAGGAGGAACACCGGUGGCGAAGGCAGCUCGCUGGGACGGUACUGACGCUGAGGCGCGAAAGCGUGGGGAGCAAACAGG
rnacentral:rRNA from 1 species